rnacentral:rRNA from 1 species
AUGCCGAUGGAGACGCCAAUCGAGGCCGAAGGGAAGAGCUCAGAGCCACCAGGGAAUGGCUCGCUGCUGAAGAUUGCCGAGAAAUCCCAGGAAUUGGGGGGUAAUCCAGGGAGGGAACUGCCGCCGUUGCAUCAGGGCAAGGAGGUCAUCCUCGUCGAUGACAAUGACAGUGGUCAGGAAGAUGGUGGGGGUGCCAAGGUGGACGAGAACGCGCCCCGCAUCGGGUUGCGGUUCAAGACCUAUGACGACGCGCUCAACUACUACAAGCAGUAUGCGGUGGAUUCCGGCUUCUCGGCGAUCACUCUCAAGUCGUCGUACCUGAAGUCGGGGGUGUGCCGGAGGCUGGUGCUCGGGUGCAGUCGGUCAGGGAGAGGGAGAGCAAAUGUGUGCUAUCUGUCUAGAGAAACAGCAAAGAUAAACUGCCCAGCUAGGAUUUCGUUGAAGUUGAGGCAGGACAGGUGGCUUCACAUUGACGACGCCAAGCUCGACCACAACCAUCCGCUCAACCAGUCCUCAGACUCGCCCAUGAGCUGUUACAAGAAACUGACGGAUGCCAAGAGCGUGGAAAAUGGUUCACGGCUUAAAGGGCGAAGGAAUGUUCCGAUAGCUGACAAAGAGCAGGGGAACUUUACCGAGAUAGGAAGGCUUAAGUUCGGGGAAGGAGAUGAUGAGCAGAUCCAGAAGUUUUUUGGCAGCAUGCAGAAUAAGAAUCCAAAUUUCUUCUACCUGGUGGAUUUGGACAAGCAGGGGCGUCUAAGGAACUUGUUUUGGAGUGAUGCUAGGUCACAGGCAGCGCAUGAAUACUUUGGUCAUGAUGUUGUUUACUUUGACACUUCAUACUUGACUGAGAAAUAUGAUCUGCCACUUGUUUUCUUCACUGGGAUGAAUAAUCAUGGCCACCCUGUUUUGUUUGGUACCGGCUUGCUUUCAGAUCUCAGUGCUGAGAGCUAUACCUGGCUAUUCAGAGCAUUUUUGUCAUGUAUGAAGGGCUGUUACCCAGACGCAAUCAUCACUGAGCAUUACAACGCUAUUCUGGAUGCGGUUAGAGAAGUAUUUUCCCAAGUUAAACACCGCCUUUGUCUGUAUCGCAUUAUGAGAGACGUGGCAGAGAACUUGAAAGCACACGCGGAAUUCAAAACAAUUAAGAGAGCACUGAAGAAAGUAACAUAUGGGUCUUUGAAGCCCCCAGAGUUUGAGGCUGAUUGGAAGAAGGUUAUUGAGGAACAUGGACUUGCAGGAAAUGAAUGCCUCAGUUCCCUACAUGAGCAUCGGCAAUUAUGGGCACCUGCUUAUCUUAAAGACAAAUUCUGGGCGGGUAUGUCUGUUUCACAGCGUGGGGAGUCUGUUGCUUCAUACUAUGAUGGAUUUGUGUACCCAAAAACUUCUUUGAAGCAAUUUUUCAGCAAAUAUGAGAUGAUAUUGGAGAACAAAUACAAGAAAGAGUUGCAAGCAGAUGAAGAAUCUUCCCAUAGGACUCCAUUGACUGUAACAAAGUUCUACAUGGAAGAGCAACUGGCCAAGGCCUACACAAUCAACAUGUUCAGGAAAUUUCAGGAAGAGUUGAAAGCAACAAUGUAUUGUGAUGGUAUGCCAAGUAAAGUUGAUGGCCCAUUUGUUACUUUUGAAGUGAAAGAAUGCUCAUACAUGGAAGAUGGAAAGGAGACGGAGAGCAGGACUUAUGAAGUUUAUUUUUGUAAAGAAGGGCUCAUUGUUGAGUGCGAAUGUGGUUUCUUUCAGUUCACUGGCAUACUAUGCAGACAUGCGUUGUCUGUGUUUAAGUUGCAUGACAUGUUUGAGAUCCCGUCAAGAUAUGUCCUUGAUCGCUGGAAAAGAGACUAUAAGAAACUGCAUGCUUUGGCACAUUAUCCUAAUGAGAUGCUCCUUGGUGACACAGUGGAGCGCCAUGAUUAUUUGUCUACACAGUGCCGUCAGGUUCUCAAUUUAGGCUUUAUAUCUGAGAGUAGGUACCUUGUUGCUCUGAAGUUACUGAGAGAAGCAGAAAGGGCUCUUCUGGAUGAUGGUCAACCUGCUAGAGACAGGCAGCCGAGGCUUCUCUCAUUCGAAGCUGAUGCACCUGAAAAUGGCCAAGGCCUUUUUAGUUCUCAAUUUCCAGAGGGUGAGAAGAAUUCCCUGUCCACAAAUGCAAAGCAUCCUGGCCGGCCAGCAAAGAAAGUGGCAGAAACUGAUCCGGAUGCUGUAUUACGGUCAAAUAAAGAACAGCAGGAUUUUCUACGGUCAUCAUUUGUGCCAACUGAAACUAAUAUGAUUCAAGAGACAUCGUCAGGUUCCCAUCUUGAAAGUCCUGACAUGGGAGUGCCAGGAAGCAUUCAUCUAAUGGAAGGGAUAUCUCCAAACCUGACAUUUGGACCUCAUUUUGGAAUGGAUGUUAGUCACCAACAUCAACUGCCUAAUCAACCAAGGAUGAUGCCGAAUAACUUUAUGCAGGUACAAGCAGAUCCCCAUGUUUUCGGAAAUCAGUGGGCUUACAACCCAACGAUGCAGGAUAAUCCAAUGCUAAGAACUCCUACGCGAAGAGCAGGGUAG